ensembl:lincRNA
AACCAGAGGAAGAAUUCGCAGCACAGACAGCACAUGCAACCACUUCAGUCAGUGGGGCCUGUUCAUGUUUUCUCUGCUUUCCUCCCUCUGGCUCUGGGUCCAGGUGACCUGGCAUCAAACACUGGGACUGUGUCCAGGCCCCCCUCCCAGCUGCCACUAGCCUGUCUGCCCCUAAAACCCCUGAUCUAAUGCUCCUCUCCAGUAGACAGCAUGUACAGACAUUUUUGCCCAUUUGGGGCUUUAUUGCUGCACUGCCAAAUGGCUAUUUGGAAAAAUUCAGGAUGGCUGUGAGCAUUAGGAGCGGAUAGCCUUCUCUGUCCUCUUAGAGGGAAAAGACAAACCCUGGAGGAGAAAGAGGAGUUGCUUGGGAAGAUGGGAGAAUGUAUCUCCAUAAAUGGCCAUGGUAGACAGUGCUCAUGGACAAGGUCUACUCCAAAUAUUUGUGACACAGAUGAGGACAUGGAGAGCUGCAGCAGGAAGCAGUUGGCACAGACUCUAGCUCAUGGCGAGCCAAUGCCAUGGGGACCCUGGAUGGGAGAGCAGAACAUUUUGAUCCUAUUCUCUUGAAUCCAGAUUAAAUCAGACAGUAACAACAACAAACAUAUGUAGCCUUUUCCAUAUGCUGGGCUCCAUUGUGAGGGCUUCUAUGUAUAUUAAUCAUUUCAUUACAUUUAGUCUUUGUGGUGGCUUUGUUGGAUAGGGACCAAUAUAUUUCCCAUUUUAGAGAAGAUCUAUGAAAAUAAUGCCUAUAAAAGGUAAAACAUCUUUGUCCGAAGCAGAGGGUAACUGUUCUAGUGAAUAUCCCAGGGCUUUGGGUAGUUCAAAUGGGAUCACAUCUGAGAAACAACUUGAGAGACUGUAAAGUGUUAUAUAUGCACAAGGGGGAGGUUCUUCUUACACCACAAUUUCUCCUGCAUCUUCUUUCUUCAUUUUUUUUUCUGAGCACCUGUGAGAUGAAUGGGUAAAGCCAAUACUCCAACGGAAUGGAUGAGAGAGACCCAGGCUCUCCCUCAGACUGACCUGCUACAAGGAAAGGAGGACACCCAGACUGAGAUCCAAGGCAAUGGGCCACCCAUCAAAGCAGAAUCCCGACCCAACUUUUGGUGGAGAUUGGGGAAUGGCCUUCAAUUCCAUCCAGAAUCCAGCAACUCCAGGAGAGGAACGUUCUGUAACUCCACCCGCUGCAUCAGUGAGCCUGCUCGCCUACCCUGUAUAAGGAUGCUCCCAAUUCUGCUCAGCCACUUGGACUUUGGAUUAAAAACUCCUCUGAGUGCACCUGCAU